UCUUGCGCAAUGGGCGAAAGCCUGACGCAGCAACGCCGCGUGGGGGAUGAAGGCUCUCGGGUUGUAAAGCUCUUUCGGUGGGGACGAAAAGGUCCGUGUUAACACCACGGAUCCAUGACGGUACCCGCAGAAGAAGCACCGGCUAACUACGUGCCAGCAGCCGCGGUAAUACGUAGGGUGCAGGCGUUAAUCGGAAUUACUGGGCGUAAAGCGUGCGCAGGCGGUCUUUUAAGUCAGAUGUGAAAUCCCCGGGCUUAACCUGGGAACUGCGUUUGAAACUGGAAGGCUAGAGUGUGGCAGAGGGGGGUGGAAUUCCACGUGUAGCAGUGAAAUGCGUAGAGAUGUGGAGGAACACCGAUGGCGAAGGCAGCCCCCUGGGCUAACACUGACGCUCAUGCACGAAAGCGUGGGGAGC
rnacentral:rRNA from 1 species